GUGCCCGAGUGUGUCGUUCUAGUAGGAAAAAUGACUAGUUUUCGGACGCGGAGUAAUUGAUCCCGAGCACACAGGCUUUCGGAAUCUGUCUCGCUCGAUAAGUCGUUGCGAUUCGGGUUACCAGACACACGUGACCAAGGCUGGGCCCAGCAGAGGGUGUGGCAGAGAUAAAGAAAAGGAGGAAUCCUCCUGGACAGUGGGGCAGAACGAGAUUUCCAUUCCAAACCGUGGUGGAUUGGCGUCAGAGCCGUAGCUCGAGUCCGCGGCCAAUUCCUGAUCCAUGGAUCAGUGCCCGUUAAUGACGUCAAUGGGCUAGAGUAAAUGAAGAAAUGGGUAGGUGGGGAUAUGGCAGGCUCCUUCCUCUCGCACCUGGGUCGGGUUCUAUCGGGGCAGCUCGGUGGCGACAACAGCAGCUCUUCUAGGGUUCGAGAAUCUUUGCUCCGGCGCGCAUGGAGUUUUUGAUGCCGUCAUUCAACAGUAGAACUCUGAUUGAAGAGGUGACUGACAGAUCCGCGCCCCGCCACUUGAAGCACUCGCAGCUACCACUUCAACGUCGGGCAGCGACCUAACAGGGUGACGCAGCGGCGACCUAACAGGGAGUGGAGAUAAGCCAGAGGCUUCAGAAACUUCCAUAGAGCAGGUUGAUUCAAAGACGUCUGGGUGGACACAAAGGUAUGAACUUCAAAGCAUAGAAAUAAUUAGGAACAUAAGGAAACCUACUUCAAAGUGAAUCUCUGUCGUUUGCUGUACUAUGAGGACAGAAGUAAAAUUGAUAAAAUUCUGGGAAAGAUAUCUAUGGUUGCCAUGAUUGCAUUGUGUGCAAGUGCGGGAGGGGUAAUCUGUGACAGAAAGUGAAAACAUUAAAAUGAGCAAAGCCAGAAUGCAGAAAUGAGAUCUGAAUAUUUGUGUGGGACAGAGGAUGACGGGUAGCUACCGAUGUUCACAUCGGGCAGCGAGUCAUUGUUGAAGCCGACCAUUAUUUGUGUGUUUGUAUUUCAGAGUCAGGAUCGGAGCUGCCGCGCCACGUUGUGCCCCAUGCCCAGAUAAGAUGACGGCAUUGGAGAAAUCAGUCCGCGUCUUUGCCGAGGCCCCUAGGGAGAAUGUCAUUGUACCAAACUUAGGGGUCACUUUUGAUACACUAGGCGAGACCUAUGAUUUCUACAAUACGUAUUCAUGGAAGAAAGGAUCCGGAAUUCGAUAUGAGAAGAGUAGGCUAAAUGUCAAUCGGACAAGAUGCGUGGUAUGCUUCCGUUUGUUGAAACCUUUUACAAUAUGCAUAUCUGUUUUUAGAUUGUCUGCACUUGUUUAGCUGAAAGUUGGUAGUAUGAAAUGGUUGCAGGGAAAACCAAACCCAAUUUCUGAAACCAAGCACCUGUUGAAUUCAUCGAA